rnacentral:rRNA from 1 species
AUUGAACGCUGGCGGCGUGCCUUACACAUGCAAGUCGAACGGUAACAGGUCUUCGGAUGCUGACGAGUGGCGAACGGGUGAGUAAUACAACGGAACGUGCCUAGUAGUGGGGGAUAACUACUCGAAAGAGUGGCUAAUACCGCAUGAGAUCUACGGAUGAAAGCAGGGGAUCGCAAGACCUUGUGCUACUAGAGCGGCCGAUGGCAGAUUAGGUAGUUGGUGGGAUAAAAGCUUACCAAGCCGACGAUCUGUAGCUGGUCUGAGAGGACGAUCAGCCACACUGGGACUGAGAAACGGCCCAGACUCCUACGGGAGGCAGCAGUGGGGAAUUUUGGACAAUGGGCGCAAGCCUGAUCCAGCAAUGCCGCGUGCAGGAUGAAGGCCUUCGGGUUGUAAACUGCUUUUGUACGGAACGAAAAGCCCCGGGUUAAUACCCUGGGGUCAUGACGGUACCGUAAGAAUAAGCACCGGCUAACUACGUGCCAGCCGCCGCCGUAA